UGGUGGAGUGAUUUGUCUGGUUAAUUCCGAUAACGAACGAGACCUCUACCUGUCAUACUACGACAGCUGAUGUGAAUCGGUUGGCGUUCUAUGAGGGACUGACUGGGGUUACCAGUAGGAAGUUUGAGGCAAUAACA
rnacentral:rRNA from 1 species